rnacentral:rRNA from 1 species
ACUCCUACGGGAGGCAGCAGUGGGAAUAUUGCACAAUGGGCGCAAGCCUGAUGCAGCCAUGCCGCGUGUGUGAAGAAGGCCUUCGGGUUGUAAAGUCACCUUUCAGUCGUGAGGAAGGUAGUGUAGUUAAUAGCUGCAUUAUUUGACGUUAGCGACAGAAGAAGGCACCGGCUAACUCCGUGCCAGCAGCCGCGGUAAUACGGAGGGUGCGAGCGUUAAUCGGAAUUA